CUCCCACCUUACAUUUACGAAUUUUCAGAGCAAGGGUUUUUUGUUGAUGUUGUUUUAAAAUCGGCGCCCCCCCGCCCGCCCGUCCCUCAUUCCUCUUCUGGAAUUGGGGCCUUGGAUCCCGCGCUUCCCCAGGAAACAAUCAGAAUAAUUUCCAACUGGGCAGAAAGGAAAUGGAAUUUCAAAUGAAAGAUGAACAAGAGGGGCUUUGAUGGCAAAGCCUCAGGGACGCGCGCGCGCCCUCGCCAUCCUUUUCCUUUCCACCCACAGAUUCUGGGUUCUGCGGCCUAUUGAGGUGGUGCGCCGGGCGGCAGCCUCUCCCCUCCUUCUCGCCCCGCGGGCGGCCGGGGCCGCCUCUGCACCCGGCGCGCGCGGGCCCUUUAAGAGCUACACCAGCCGAGCUGCAGUUUGACAUCAGCCGGCCGGCGAGGGCGCGCCUGGAGCCGGAGCACGUGCCAGGAUGUUUUAUUGCCGCCGCGGCUGCGGCCGGGCCGGGAGGAUGUGUGUGUGCGUGCGUGUGUGAGUGUGUGUGCGCGCGCCCCGGGGGCAGGGAGGCGGGGGGCGGCGGCGGGCGGCGGAGCGCGGGGGCUGGUUCUUGGUCCCCGGGAGAAGCCAAGAAGGUAUCAGAAUGGCUUGUGGGUUUGGCUUAAAGCUACAGAAAAGACAGAGUGAGAGAAGAAAAAAGCCUGCCAGAGCCGAGGUAGCUGCACGGCCAAGAGCUAUCCUGGGAGAGCUAUUGAAAGAGCCUUGAGCUUUUAUGGGGACCAGAGAAGAUGGGAUAAUGUUGGAGCCCAAAGCCAUUGAGCUGCUGGCUGACGUCACACAUAGCAGAGGGAGAGCCCUCCAUGGCCAUGGACGGAGCCAGCACUCACAUUCAAGUAUUUGAUCUCCUUGUCCUCGGUCGCGAGUCCCCCUCUUCACCUGGCACUUGGGACAGACCUAGACUUGGUGUCUAGGACUUCUUGUUAUCUGGACAGAAGGAUCGAGUGUCAGCUUGUUUUCUUUGAGACACGUGGACCUGUGUUAAUGGUGCUGAGGAGGAAUUACAUGAUGUUGCAGGUGAUAAAGCAGAAAUAAGGAAUCCAUACUCUUUUGAAGCCUACAUUUAAACUGGAGAGAUGGACAAGCAAAAUAAAUGGAGUGGGGAAGGCGACUGUGAAGGCAACCUCCUUGAAGAUGGCAGUGAGUCUUCAAAGAGUCGCUUCAAUGGAUGGAGGCCAAGGUGACUUCAGACGUGGACAGGACAUCUCGUGAGGAGACCCUGCUUGGCUGGAAGGUUCUCCUAGCAUUGACUUGGUUGUGCUAAGAAACGUAGGCAUCCGGUGUUGUUCUUCAGGGUCAUCGCAAGCAAAGUCCGCAGAUGAUUUGGAGCAUGUGGGGCUUGCUGUAAAGGCUGCCUGGGAGAGGGCACCCCCACCCCCCGCACUGCUCACACUGUCCCCAGCCCGCCAGUGGAACCAAAGACUUCAGAUCUCCACUGUGCCUUAUUCCCCAUAACUGGGACCUCGUCUCACAUCCCUCACCCACAGCCAGCACACGCAGGACAUCGAGUUACCAGCUCUGGCUUCUCCCGGGUGCCCUUGACCAAGCAAGCACGGCCCUCCCUCCUCCAUCGCCAAGGAGAUUCAGGAAUUUGUGGGACCCACCUCAUGUCGGGUUAUUGAGUAACUGGUGGGGCAUUGAAUGUCAGGGCUGAGAAAACAAAGCUGCCUACCUGUUGGGCCAGAUGACUUCACAGCCCCAGCUGGUCUUCUGGCGCGGGCUUUCUCCAGCUUCCGUCAGUGACGCCUUCCAACAAGCCCCGCCCGCAUCGUGCUGUUCUAAACACCCAACUUGAGGAUUCUCGCUGUGCUCAGGGAGAAGGAGAACAGGCUCAACCACCACCAGCCAAAGGCACAUCAGGUAUCAGGGUAAUUGAUGAGUAGGGAUUGGGUUGAUGGAAGAAGACCCCCAUCCGCCGUCUAAUUGGGCUGUGGGUGAAAAACAAAGAUGUGGCACGUUUGGGGAGUAAAAUCUGGCUGGCACGUGUUCGCCCGCUUCUGGACUUGUGGCUCUUCUCUCAGUCGGCUUGGCGUUGGAGUCCCCUGAGCAUGGGCAACUCCCCUGUCAUCUCCCUAAGGGAGGGAUCUGGUGACUUCAUCUCUGAAGCUUCCUGGUGUGCAGCACAGAACCAGUGUCCGAGGGUUGGAUUAGACCUUGGAGAAGUCAUGUCUUCUCUCUGGCCCUUGACUUCCCUAGCUGUAAAAUGGGCAUAAUGCCUUCAGUCCUUUCUCCUUCCCAAGCUUUUAAAGAAGACUCUAAGGGCGCCUGGGUGGCUCAGUGGGUUAAAGCCUCUGCCUUCGGCUCGGGUCAUGAUCCCAGGGUCCUGGGAUC